GCAGAGACCGGGGAAGCGACACCAGAGCUUGAGAAGGGUCGGGGGGACCGCCGGCCGCUGUACAGUCCUGCCCGGCGGUGGGGACCGCUCGGAAGGAGACGAAGUGACUAGGGGAGGGGGGCGCCCGCCUCCUCGAGCUCGUCAGAGGCGCUCCGCCCCCUCCAGCCGCCCGGCCUGUCGGGGCGGCUGCCGCCGUCGGCCCCGGCCCGAGGCGAGGCUGGGCGCAGCGCGGCAAGGCGCCGGUGUCUCUGGAGCAGCAGGAGGCAUCUGUCUUGCGUCUGCAGAACUCUCCUUCAUAUAAGCGUGGAAUAGUUUUUCUCUAAAGCGGAUGAUCAAGAAGCCUUGGAGUUCUUACAUGAGUUUGCACGAGACCUGAAAGUUUUGAAACAGUAUACCCAGUGCUUGCCGCUGCCAUCGCCUUGGUAAUGUUACACUGAUGGAAGGAAGCAUGCCUACAGUUGAAGAGCAUUCAAGUUUACUGGAGCUAUGGUACCUCAGAAUUUAAUUUAAUUUGGUGACCAUAGAUGAUGAAAGAAAAGUGAUCUUCUGUUUUUCAAAUACUGCAGUUUGUUCUUUGUAACAAGAUGGUUUACUGUGAAAGAUGAAACUUUCUGGACACUAAAAGGUAGCUGGUAGGCAUAGCAAAAUGCUUUGUUUGAGGCAAGUUUGUUUGUUUACAUUGAGACAUUGCCAGGCUCGGACUCUGAGUAGCGAUCUGCUAUUGAGCCUGAUAAAUAGUUGCACCCAUGAAGAUGAAGUAUUCAGCCUUGUUAGAAGGAACAAGGCCAGGCUUUCUGAAAAACAUGGGGGAAUUGCAUUGAACAUGCUGUGGCAAUUGCAAAAGAAAAGACCACUUCUCUUAAGGACUGGUAACUAUAUAAGGAAUCACUCCCAGUUUCUCACCCUUUGGGUUUUAGCAGAAAACAAGGUGGAACACAUGGAAGAUGAGGCCAUAGUGGACACCCUGUAUAGUAUUCUGAGGCUCAAUGUUGAAGACUAUGGUUCUCCAGCAGAACUGCUUGUUACAGAAGCAUGGAAAAGAUUAGAAAGACUUAGUUUGCCAGCUCUGUCUAAAUUUGCACUGUGUUUAUACAAGCAACACAGACAUUUAAGUCCUGUAAUUGGCGAAGUUGCUGGUAUUGUGGACACGAAACUGGAUUCUAUACAAGAUAUAAGGAUCUUGUCGGUUUUGAUGAUCAGCAUAUCUGAUGUUAUCUCACAGAGUUUUCGAGAUCGAUUACUACACAAAGCUGGACAACUCAUGGAAGGAAGCGAUGAAGUCCACUUCAACUAUGCCAAAAGAGUAUUACAGUUUCUUCAAAAUGUUAAACUAAGAUAUCAUCCAUUGCUAGAAAAAUGUAACAAGAUUUUCCUUAGAAAUGUCUCCUGUCUUGAUAUACACAGUAUUAGCCAUAUUUUUGGACUGUAUGAGCAAUUGGGUUUUGACAAUGCUGAGUUCCGCUUGGUUGUUAAACAGCUGCUGUCUGCAACUCUAGAUGAUUAUGAUGAUCCUGAUACCUUUGCAAAACUAUUUUUUACUCUUGGGCCUAUGGCAGGAUCCCAGGUAAGAGAAAGGUUGCUAGUAACUGCAGCAUGCAUGGCAGAAGAAUUUAGCCGUCACCAAGUAUUGGUAAUACUGAAGACAAUGCAUAAAAUGAAAUGCAGAAACACUCAUCUACUCAAAAAAAUGGCAUCUGUUCUGCACAAACACAUGGACACCUAUCAGGUCUUACAGUUGGUAAAGUUAACACAGUACUUGGUGGGGCUGCGUUGCCAAGAUAUGGAGCUGUUUGCCAAACUAAAAAUGUUGCUGUUAGGUUUUUUAAAAUCUAGCAUCACACCUGCUCAUACUGCUGCAAUAAUUCGUGUUCUGGCCAUGCUUCCUUCCUUUCAAGUGGAGGGAAGCACUAUAAACAAAGCAGCAGCAGUUCUGCCUCAGUGCAGGCUUCAUCAUUUGAAUUACAUUGCUACAGCUCUUGUCAAAUGGAAUCAUUAUGACCAGUUGCACUGGCAAAACAGUUCUGAGCUAUGUGUAAAGCUUCUGCAAAAAGUGAAUGACUGUGGAUUUCAGAGGCUUCAGAAAGCCAACAACAUAAAUCUUCUGUUGGAAGAACUUAAGCAUGUGAAUGGAGAGUGGUUUGAAGAAGUCCUCAUUGAGGAAACCAUGGCCACGUGUCAACGCUUGAUAGACCAAAUAACGUGGCCAAAUGUGUUACAGUUGUGUUCUUUUCUCCGAAAAACAAGCCGCUGUUGUCCUUCAUUACUUGACAGAAUAGCUUCUGUGACUGUUGAAAAUAUAGACAAGAUCCACCCUUUUGAAAUGUACUUUAUUCUCGUCCUUUUCUCUACUCUGAAUUAUGACCCUCCUGCCAAUGAAGAGUUCUUUGCCAGGUGUAUCCAACAUCUUACUUCUAACUUGAGUAAGUGCAUUAGAGAAAGAUAUUGUUGUUUUGAAACUCACCACUUGGUGCUUCUUGGUCAUAUUUUGGCAGUGGCUGGGUAUUUUCCUCCAGUUCUGAUAACAAAGAUAUUUAAUGUUUCUUUCCUAAGCAAAUUGGAUACUCAGCUUGAAGUCCUGCCUGAUACCUUAAAGCACAGGGUCCGCUUGCGCCUCAUGAAAUUGAACAGAGCAGUAUGUCUGGAAUGCCCAGAGUUUCAUAUCCCUUGGUUUCAUGAGCACUACUGCCAACGUGUCUUUUUUAACAGCAGUCACCGAAAAAAUCCACUGCGACAGCAUGUUCACAGAAUGCUGACGGAGAUCUUGGGGGGGAGCCAUUUUGCAAAAAUAUCUGUUCUCACACCUUACUACUAUGAAAUAGAUCUUGAAUGCAUUCUGGAUGAAAAUAAAAAGCCUCUUUCCUAUAUGACUGUACCUUUGGAUGGUGUGGAGGGAAUGCACUUGAGACAUGACAUCAAGGAUGAAGCGAGAAAUGCUCUGCCACCAGGAGCUCAGAGAAUUGCUUUGGAAUUUCUCGAUUCAAAAGCUUUUAGCAAAGGUUCACGUCACCUGAAAGGAGAAUCAGCAGUGAAGAAACGACAUCUGGAAAUUCUGGGGUACCGGGUAGUUCAGAUUCCUCACUUUGAAUGGAAUUCAAUGGUUUUGUCAACAAAAGGUGAACAGCUAGAUUAUCUGAGAAGGCAUCUCUAUGGAAUACAGUAAUGUCAGCCAGGAAUUCAAAAGUGCUUUUUAUACCAACACUUCAAGGACCAUUAAAUUUCUUGUAAUCCUGGAAUAUUUAGUUUCAAAAAUGUCUUUGUGAGUCAGCUGGACCAAGGCUUACCAUGGAGCAUCAGAUGUCAAGAGAUUAAUCCUCCAUUUAUUAGGGAUUGAAAGAGGCAGAUCACAGUGGGUCAAGAAGGUGUGAUAAAGAUGCUUAAAAUCUCCCACUAUUUGGAAGCUAUUCUUUAAGUAAAUGGGUCUGUGACAGUUUUGACAUUAAAGUACAUUAUUGUAUCCCAAAUAAAUAGUAUAGAGGCUUAGCCAGACAGAAAACUGUCCAAAUAAAAAGCUGGAAGUAUUCUUCACUGUCAGAAUAGAAGCAGCAGAUCUACUGGAAACCGUCCCCUUCAGCAUGUGAUGGAAUGAGCAAUUGGAAUCAAAGACUACUAUCACUGUGAAACCAAGAAACAGAGAUGCAGAUGUACGAAGAGGAGGACUACUAGUACAGCCAUUCUGUCUUCCAGAUGAGAGUCAUUCUUUCCAAAUGGAAUCAGCAUGUGUUACAGCAGAUGGGCUGGUGUAAACCAGUGAUUUAACUGGAGCCAAUGAAAGAUGCUAAAAACGGCUGAAGAUUAGGCUGCUAAAGGGGAAAACAGAAGAGAUAUCCCCCAGAUUUAAGUACCAGUGUACACUUUGGCAUGUUCCUUCUCUGCUAUGCUGCUAUUUCUAAAUUAUCUUCUACAGAUCUCACAAGCCCAGUAACAACUGAUGGUACCUUCCUUGCUUUGGAAACAAACACAUGCCCAUCUAAAUCAGGUCAUCACUUCCCAGAGUCCCUGGAGCGUGAAUCUGUCCUUCAGCUUCUCUAUUGCAAGUCCCAGUUCUUCUGAAAACACGGGCUCCCGGUCAUGUUGCUUUUUGGAAUGCAUUAGAUAUGAGAGAAAACAA